rnacentral:misc_RNA from 1 species
GAAAAGCCGAAACUUGGUUGCUCCAGUUUGACAAACAAUUAUAUCCAGUCAUCGAAUAACAUCCCUAGCAUUCACACUGAAACAGUCAACAUAAGGAACAGGUUGUAAAGUUUACUCAGGUUCAGGUCAGGUCCAAAAUUGAACCACAAUGCAGUUUGGCAAAGCAUUUUGGCCUUCUCAGACAAAAGAAUAACUGGCACACAAUUGAACGCUUCUUACCAUUUCUUUCAGGUCAAAAUUCUGCAACAACCGUGGUCACCCUUAAAUUUGUUUACGAGAUUGGAUUCAUUUGGAAGGAAGGAGGUGGAGUAGUUUCUGAUCUCCACAUCCAAGACAAUAUCUCUAGGAUAAUAACUGUGACUAAUAUCGUACUAAUUAGAAACCCAUAGCAUAUCUUCCAUCCAAUCCCUGCAGAGCCUGCGUGGAUUCCCAACACCACAUUUAGAGCUCCAAAGAAGAGGGCAAUCCUUCCAAACCAGCCGUGAUACCAAUUCCAGUACUUGCGGAUCUUGACAUCCUUCUUGGGCCGUAGAAAGAACGCCAAUAUCUGAAGAAUACUGAGGGUAAGAACGAAGAUCCCUAUGGAUCUAUGUGCUGGUAUUCUGGCAUUAAUUUUAGAAUAGAGUUGUUGUCCAAGAACCACAGUAGCUAGGGCAAAGAGAAAUCCCACAAAUUGAAUACCUGCAUGUAGAUAAUACCAAAGUGGAUCUUUAUGCUUCAUGUAUCUUGCAACAAUUGCUCCAACAGGAAGGAGCAGGCCCCAUGCGAAGAUACCCAAUAUACCGUGAUUCUUCUUCAUCUGCCCAGGAUUUGCAUACCCGGAAGAAGCAGAACCUGCAGAGAAGUCGAAGAGAAUGGUGGUCUUAUCAUCAUGAAUGGAUAAACGGUGGUGUUUUGGAUAUUUUGUUCCAAAAGCCAAUAUGAUAGGUUGGCGAGUAAGAGUUUUUUCAAACUUGGCUUGAAAUGCCAAGUAAAUCAUGGGUCCAUGAAGCACAACAGCAGGUGGAACUUUCGUGAGAUCCAAUUCACCUGCAUCUGCUAUGACUUGUGAUGGCCGAGCACCUUGUAAAUAGAAUUGUUUGAUUCUCGCAUGACCUUCCUUGUUAAACCAUCCCACCAUAGCGCUGGAGCCAACCAUCAUUCCAUCUUUAGAAAACCCAAUUCCUACCCAUCCGGUGGUGAAUACAGCAGAUAAUAUAAAGGUCACCAAGUUCUCUUCUCUCUUGUGAUACCUCAAAAUGAAAGUGUUCCAAACCGGUGCGCAGACCAUGCCUGAUAUAUUGCUGUAUGGCGGAGGAAGAAAACUACUCGUAUCGAUAUUGCAAAGCUCCGAUCUAUCAACUUCAGGAGCCGCAAGAGUAGUGGCACCACCACCAUUAUUCUCACCACUCUGAUGAUCUUCUACUGAAACAUCAGCAUCUUCAUCAUGCGGGCCUGGUGCGGCCAAGGAAAUAUUGGGUCUCAACAAAAUAACCAAUAAACAUAAUAAAACAAUCAGGGGCCUGCAAGGUAGAAAUCUUGAGUUCUCCAUUUCUAUGAUAGGGCGCUCAUAACCUGGCGUACCAGGAAUGCCAAGAACUAGGGGAGAGGAUGAUAACAAUUAAAAUUCAAAAUCUUGAAUUUGCCACUAAGAAAUCUAAGGCUCAUAACAAGCAAUAAGACAUCAACAAUGGGCCAAGAAGAAGGUGAAGAAAGGUAUUGUGAGAGUGAAAGUGAAGAGAUUGAG